UACGAGGGGGCUAGCGUUGUUCGGAAUUCCUGGGCGUAAAGGGCGCGUAGGCGGCGUGUCAAGUCAGGCGUGAAAGCCCCGGGCUCAACCUGGGAACCGCGCUUGAGACUGGCAUGCUCGAGUUCGGGAGAGGAUGGUGGAAUUCCCAGUGUAGAGGUGAAAUUCGUAGAUAUUGGGAAGAACACCGAUGGCGAAGGCAGCCAUCUGGACCGACACUGACGCUGAGGCGCGAAAGCGUGGGGAGCAAACAGG
rnacentral:rRNA from 1 species